CUGCUUUGAAGAGAUCUUGGGACUGAAGGACUGAGCUGAGGCAUUUCUAAGGCAGCUGAUGAGAGCAGAGGAAAGAGCAGAUCAUGGCACCAAAUCCUGCCCCAGAGCUGAGCAGGGCUGAAGGAGUGGCCCCGUGUGGAGAAGCAGAUGGAGCUCUGCAAACUAUCAGCAUGCUGGAUAUUAUGGAGCAUUUCUGGAGUUGAGGGACAGCUCUCUGGGAAUUUCCAGGUGGUAAAACACUGACUGCCAUGAACUUCAUCAGGGAAAAAGAAAAAAAGAAAACCAAAAGAAAAAAAAACAGGAAAAAGCUGUGGUUUGGAAGCAGCUGGAUGGCAAACUGCAGGCUGGGAAUGUGGCUGCCAAAACCACCACAAGGAGAGUGGGGCAUUGAGGCAUUUGUGGAGCAUUCUGUUUGCUAAUUGCUCAUGGAAUUUCAGGUUGAAAGAGAAGAAGGGAAUCUACCAGGUGGCUGCAUCUUGAAAAACAGGCCUUGUCCUCCUGUCCCAUUUGGCAGCAGACCUGUGUGUGUGAGAAGUACAGCUGUGGGAUGCCUAAUGAAAAGAGGUGCUUGAACAACUGGCCUUCAGCUCUGUCACCUUUUCUCCCUGCUUGCAAAAAAAACCAAACCAAAACAAAGCAAAACCAACCACAUAAAAAAAAAAAAGAGACAAAAAAAAUCCAAGCCAAAGAUGGUUUAUGUACAGCUCAGGAAGCUCUCAGCAAUGAGUGUGUUUGUGAUUUAAUAACAUACCUACCCAAAAUGACACUUCUUCUACUACUCACUGAGAAAAAGAAGGCAGAGCAGCAGACAAGGCACUGCCGUUGCAGCAACAAGCAGCCAAACUACCAGGUAUUUAUUUUUCAAUGUACACAAUUAUUGGGGGAGGAAUAAAAAUUAUUCUUUGACACUCUGAGAGAGCCGUAAAAAGCCCUCCCAUGGUCCUGACAAGAAACAC